GGGAGACACACGGCGGGUGCUAACGUCCGUCGUGAAAAGGGAAACAACCCAGACCGUCAGCUAAGGUCCCAAAGUUACAGUUAAGUGGGAAACGAUGUGGGAAGGCCCAGACAGCUAGGAGGUUGGCUUAGAAGCAGCCACCCUUUAAAGAAAGCGUAAUAGCUCACUAGUCGAGUCGGCCUGCGCGGAAGAUAUAACGGGGCUCAAACUGUACACCGAAGCUACGGAUGCGUAUUCAUACGCAUGGUAGAGGAGCGUUCUGUAAGCCGUUGAAGGUCAAGGUGUGAACCAGGCUGGAGGUAUCAGAAGUGCGAAUGCUGACAUAAGUAACGACAAGGGGAGUGAAAAACUCCCCCGCCGGAAACCCAAGGGUUCCUGUCCAACGUUAAUCGGGGCAGGGUUAGUC
rnacentral:rRNA from 1 species